rnacentral:rRNA from 1 species
UUGGAGGGCAAGCUGGUGCCAGCAGCCGCGGUAAUUCCAGCUCCAAUAGCGUAUAUUAAAGUUGUUGCAGUUAAAAAGCUCGUAGUUGAAUUUCGGGGUUCUACCGUUGGUCGGGCUAACCAGUCUGUACUAGCGUGUAGAAUUCCUACCUUCUGGGGAACCAUCAUGUUAUUAAUUUAGCGUGGUGGGAAACCAGGACCUUUACCUUGAAAAAAUUAGAGUGUUCAAAGCAGGCUUACGUCUGAAUACAUUAGCAUGGAAUAAUAAAAUAGGACGGUGGUCCUGUUUUG